GUAGGGAAUAUUGGGCAAUGGAGGCAACUCUGACCCAGCCAUGCCGCGUGCAGGAUGACGGCCCUCUGGGUUGUAAACUGCUUUUAUACGGGAAGAAAAAAUACUACGUGUAGUAUACUGACGGUACCGUAAGAAUAAGGAUCGGCUAACUCCGUGCCAGCAGCCGCGGUAAUACGGAGGAUCCAAGCGUUGUCCGGAUUUAUUGGGUUUAAAGGGUGCGUAGGCGGAUCUUUAAGUCAGUGGUGAAAGCCUGCAGCUUAACUGUAGAAUUGCAAUUGAAACUGAAGAUCUUGAAUGUGGUUAAAGUAGGCGGAAUGUAUCAUGUAGCGGUGAAAUGCUUAGAUAUGAUACAGAACACCGAUAGCGAAGGCAGCUUGCUGAACCAUUAUUGACGCUGAGGCACGAAAGCGUGGGGAGCGAACAGGAUUAGAAACCCCGGUAGUCC
rnacentral:rRNA from 1 species